rnacentral:rRNA from 1 species
UACGAGAGGCCCAAACGUUAUUCGGAUUUACUGGGCUUAAAGAGUUCGUAGGCGGCGCAGCAAGUCGGGUGUGAAAGCCCUCGGCUCAACCGAGGAAUUGCGCUCUAAACUACUGUGCUUGAGGAAGCUAGAGGUGAGCGGAACUGAUGGUGGAGCGGUGAAAUGCGUUGAUAUCAUCAGGAACACCGGAGGCGAAGGCGGCUCACUGGGGCUUAUCUGACGCUGAGGAACGAAAGCCAGGGGAGCGAACGGG